rnacentral:lncRNA from 1 species
CUCUAUAAUAAAAUAAAAUGAUUAACUAAUAUGGAAUAGACAAAUCCUAAAGUAUUACCUUUGGUUGAAGUAUUGGAGGGAAGAGGUUCAGUAUUACUUGCCAAUGAAGCUAUAGCUGAUGAUGACGUUUUCUUCUGCUUAUUAUCAUCCACAACGACAGCAGUCGCUGCUGUCGUCUCGCGACGGAGGAGAAGGGAAGUCGAAGGACAGGAAUUAGUAAAAGAUUUUGUCACUUUUUUUGAAUUAGUGGCCAUAAUUGUGAUUAGUGAUUAUUAGAGAAAGGAGAAAAGUG